GACGAACGCUGGCGGCGUGCUUAACACAUGCAAGUCGAACGGAAAGGCCCUGCUUUUGUGGGGUGCUCGAGUGGCGAACGGGUGAGUAACACGUGAGUAACCUGCCCUUGACUUUGGGAUAACUUCAGGAAACUGGGGCUAAUACCGGAUAGGAGCUCCUGCUGCAUGGUGGGGGUUGGAAAGUUUCGGCGGUUGGGGAUGGACUCGCGGCUUAUCAGCUUGUUGGUGGGGUAGUGGCUUACCAAGGCUUUGACGGGUAGCCGGCCUGAGAGGGUGACCGGCCACAUGGGGACUGGGUUACGGCCCAGACUCCUACGGGGGGCAGCGGUGGGGAUUAUUGCACAAGGGGCGGAGGCCUGAUGCAGCAACGCCGCGUGCGGGAUGACGGCCUUCGGUUUGUAAACCGCUUUCGCCUGUGACGAGGCGUGAGUGACGGUAUUGGGUAAAGAAGCACCGGCUAACUACGU
rnacentral:rRNA from 1 species